rnacentral:siRNA from 1 species
CAACCCAUUCAUCCUCCUGCCA